rnacentral:lncRNA from 1 species
GGAGGACCUACAGAAGACCCCAAAAGAAAGUGGACGUGCCGAAGAGAAAGUUAGAGCCUAUCACAGUUGCUGAAACUUGGAAGGAUGGCCCUUAUGUCUUCAUCCUCAGCAUCACGAACCCCUUGCCCAACUGGGAGGUCUCAAUUGAUAUUCAGAUGAAACAUCCUGAGUACAUCUACAUCUCUGCCUCAGAGUGGCCCCUCAAGGUGGUAAGUUGAAGUUUUAUGGUUCAGGAGACAGGUGAGCAGCGGGCAUCACGGCCUGUUUCUCCAACACAUUUGAAGUCCACCCAUCUUCAGGUUCAUUAGCAUGCUGCCUGGGGAAUUGUGGAAGUCCCCCAACUGAGAGUUAACAAGUUGGGGAAACUGUUCUAGA